UACGGAGGAUCCGAGCGUUAUCCGGAUUUAUUGGGUUUAAAGGGUGCGUAGGUGGUUUGAUAAGUCAGCGGUGAAAGUUUGCAGCUUAACUGUAAAAAUGCCGUUGAAACUGUCGGACUUGAGUGUAAAUGAGGUAGGCGGAAUGCGUGGUGUAGCGGUGAAAUGCAUAGAUAUCACGCAGAACUCCGAUUGCGAAGGCAGCUUACUAAGCUACAACUGACACUGAAGCACGAAAGCGUGGGGAUCAAACAGGAUUAGAUACCCUGGUAGUCCACGCAGUAAACGAUGAUUACUAGCUGUUUGCGAUACACAGUAAGCGGCACAGCGAAAGCGUUAAGUAAUCCACCUGGGGAGUACGCCGGCAACGGUGAAACUCAAAGGAAUUGACGGGGGCCCGCACAAGCGGAGGAACAUGUGGUUUAAUUCGAUGAUACGCGAGGAACCUUACCCGGGUUUGAACGUAGGGAGACAGGGGUGGAAACAUCCUUUUCAGCAAUGACUGCCUACGAGGUGCUGCAUGGUUGUCGUCAGCUCGUGCCGUGAGGUGUCGGCUUAAGUGCCAUAACGAGCGCAACCCUUAUUUCCAGUUACUAACAGGUGAUGCUGAGGACUCUGGAGAGACUGCCAGCGUAAGCUGUGAGGAAGGUGGGGAUGACGUCAAAUCAGCACGGCCCUUACAUCCGGGGCGACACACGUGUUACAAUGGUAAGGACAAAGGGCAGCUACCGGGCGACCGGAUGCGAAUCUCUAAACCUUAUCUCAGUUCGGAUCGGAGUCUGCAACUCGACUCCGUGAAGCUGGAUUCGCUAGUAAUCGCGCAUCAGCCAUGGCGCGGUGAAUACGUUCCCGGGCCU
rnacentral:rRNA from 1 species